GCUUGUCUCAAAGAUUAAGCCAUGCAUGUCUAAGUAUAAGCACUUUAUACUGUGAAACUGCGAAUGGCUCAUUAAAUCAGUUAUAGUUUAUUUGAUACUACCUUACUACUUGGAUAACCGUGGUAAUUCUAGUGCUAAUACAUGCAACGAUCCCCGACUUUUGAAGGGGAGUAUUUAUUAGAUUAAAAAACCAAUCGUAGCGAUACGUUUUUUGGUGAAUCAUGAUAACUUUUCGAAUCGCACGACAUUGUUGGCGAUGGUUCAAUCAAAUUUCUGCCCUAUCACCUUUCGAUGGUAGUAUAGAGGACUACCAUGGGUAUAACGGGUAACGGAGAAUUAGGGUUCGAUUCCGGAGAGGGAGCCUGAGAAACGGCUACCACAUCCAAGGAAGGCAGCAGG
rnacentral:rRNA from 1 species